AUUGAACGCUGGCGGCAGGCCUAACACAUGCAAGUCGAGCGGAUGACGGGAGCUUGCUCCUUGAUUCAGCGGCGGACGGGUGAGUAAUGCCUAGGAAUCUGCCUGGUAGUGGGGGACAACGUUUCGAAAGGAACGCUAAUACCGCCUACGUCCUACGGGAGAAAGCAGGGGACCUUCGGGCCUUGCGCUAUCAGAUGAGCCUAGGUCGGAGUAGCUAGUUGGUGGGGUAAUGGCUCACCAAGGCGACGAUCCGUAACUGGUCUGAGAGGAUGAUCAGGCACACUGGAACUGAGACACGGUCCAGACUCCUACGGGAGGCAGCAGUGGGGAAUAUUGGACAAUGGGCGAAAGCCUGAUCCAGCCAUGCCGCGUGUGUGAAGAAGGUCUUCGGAUUGUAAAGCACUUUAAGUUGGGAGGAAGGGCAGUAAGCUAAUACCUUGCUGUUUUGACGUUACCGACAGAAUAAGCACCGGCUAACUCUGUGCCAGCCGCCGCAGUAAAAC
rnacentral:rRNA from 1 species